rnacentral:tmRNA from 1 species
UUUGGAUUCGACGGGAAUAGUUCGAGCUUUAGUGGCGAGUCGAGGGGUCGGCCUCGUAAAAACGCACCGCCAAUAAUAACUGGCAAACAAAACAACAACUUCGCUUUAGCAGCGUAAGCUAGCUAGCGGCUCUUUCCAUCAAUCGCCCAUGUUGCUGGAGUAGAGCUCAAUCUUAGUGGGAUGCGGUCAUCGUUCUCCAUCUGUGGAUGAUGAUCUAAGGUAAUCAGAUUAGCCUUUAGGCUUGCCUGUCGUUGGGCGUACCUUUAGGCGAAACUCAAAUACGACGACUACACUCGUAGAAGCUAUUGUUACGUUAUUUUCGGACGUGGGUUCGAUUA